rnacentral:rRNA from 1 species
AACGAACGCUGGCGGCAGGCCUAACACAUGCAAGUCGAGCGCCCCGCCAGGGGAUCGGCGGACGGGUGAGUAACGCGUGGGCUUAUUCCCUUUUCUACGGAAUAGUCUCGGGAAACUGGUGGUACUACCGUAUUCGCCCUUUUGGGGAAAGAUUUAUCGGCGAAGGAUUAGCCCGCUUUGGAUUAGGUAGUUGGUGGGGUAAUUGCCUACCCAUCCGACGAUCCAUAGCUGGUUUGAGUGGAUGAACAGCCACACUGGGACUGAGACACGGCCCAGACUCCGACGGGAGGGAGCAGUGGGGAAUAUAAGACAAGGGGGGCAAGCCUGAUCUAGCCAUGCCGCGUAAGUGAUGAAGGCCUUAGGGUUGUAAAGCUCUUUCAGAUGGGAAGAUAAUGACGGUACCAGAAGAAGAAGCCCCGGCUAACUCCGUG